GCCUGGGUGGCUCAGUCAGUUGAGCAUGUGACUUCGGCUCAGGUCAUGAUCUUGCCACCCGUGGGUUCGAGCCCCACAUCGGGCU
rnacentral:tRNA from 1 species